UGGCGCUCCGGCGGCGACUGCCACCCGGUGCGUAGAGCGCAGGGCGCGCACACCUCGCGCUCACUCCGCGCACCCCCGCUCCUCCCCGCGCGCUACCCGCGGGGAUAGUUGGCGAGUUUCCCGUCUGAGGUUUUCACAAGUCUGGCUUAGCUGCCCGACUCUUACCAAAAGUAAAGAAAGAUUUCGGCACCACAGAAAACAAGGAAAUCAUUGUCAGAGACGGAGAAAGAUUUGAUGACAAAAAAGAAGUCUUGGAAAUGGAUGGAAGCAGAUUCUUUAAAAAGCCAUAACUUAAGGCAAGGCCAAGACUGUUUGCCUGGCCUUUGGAGAUGGGAUGUUACAAUGAAGAAUGAAAUUGCUGGCACCACCUAGAUGGUCCAUCUGUAAAAUACUGCUCAGACUUGAGCAACGGUCCUGGGAAGUCAGGAUGGCCUAGGAGGAGGGCUGUAGCGGCAUAGGGCCAAGGCCUUUGGGAUGUGAAAAGAAAACUGGACUCUUUCACCCACUCUUCUGUUUUCACAAGCCUUGCGCAAUCCUUUGAGGACCUUGGGAAUGUGGGAGAGAAAUGGAAAGCACGAGACAACAGAGUGAGGAGUCCUAAAAGAAGAUCUUUGGGAGAGUCUCUUUCCUCUCAAAAGAUGAGGAAUAAAGAUAAAGACUUGCAAAAAGACCUGCUCCAUAAUUCUUUAUUCUAGCAAUACCUUCCUCCUUCCUCCCUAGAGCCAUGUUCUUCGUUUUGUUUUUUUGUUUGUUUGCUUGUUUGUUUUCUGGUUAUUUGGUUUUUUACCUGGUAGAUUAGAAAGCAUUUUGGGAAAGAAAAUGGGAAAAUUUUUCAUUUUUAUACAGUACAGUACAGCAUAAUUUCAGAAUUAGCUUAUCCGUAUCAUCUGUAAAUUUAAACUGUUUGAAUACAAGAAUGUUUUUCUAUCUUGGGAAACAAUGCACAAAAAUAAAUGUUUUUCUUUCAGUGAUUAACAUUUCUUUAUGGAAGACCCUUGAAAAUUGUGUGCAUGUGAAAUUACUACAAUUUUGGGUUUUAACCAAUAACUUGAUGGGUAAUUUGGCAUUUAAUCUUUGUGGAUCAAUUUCUUCAGCCACAAAAACAAUUCCAAAGUCUGAUGAAAAUUAUUAAGAAAUAACAAAAAUUCUACUGAAAUUGGUCCAUUUGGAGCAAAUAUAUUAAACAAUUUACAAAUUGGAUUUCAU